rnacentral:rRNA from 1 species
AGUGAACGCUGGCGGUAGGCCUAACACAUGCAAGUCGAACGACCGCACAGUAAGCGCUUUCUCUUACGGGUGGCGAGUGACGGACGGGUGAGAAAUACAUCGGCAUCUACUUUUUCUUGGGGAAAAUCGGGGGAAAGUUACUAUUACAGCGUAAAAUGCCGAACGGCAUAAUUCAGGAGUUCUAGAAGCUUUUGCUGUUACAUUAAGAGGGAUCCGCGCCGCAUUAGCUAGUUGGUAAGGUAACGGCACACCAAGGCAACGAUGCGUAGCUGGUCUGAGAGGAUGAUCAGCCACACUGGAACUGAGACACGGUCCAGACUCCUACGGGAGGCAGCAGUAGGGAAUAUUGGACAAUGGGCGCAAGCCUGAUCGAGCCAUACCGCGUGGGUGAAGAAGGUCUUCGGGUUGUAAAACUCUGUUGUUAGGGAAGAAAAGCAGCAUAAGAAUCUCCCCAUGUUCUGACGGUACCCAAACAAUAAGCACCGGCUAACUUCGUG